rnacentral:rRNA from 1 species
CAAAUUACCCACUCCCGGCACGGGGAGGUAGUGACGAAAAAUAACAAUACGGGACUCUUUUGAGACCCCGUAAUUGGAAUGAGUACACUCUAAAUCCUUUAACGAGGAUCUAUUGGAGGGCAAGUCUGGUGCCAGCAGCCGCGGUAAUUCCAGCUCCAAUAGCGUAUAUUAAAGUUGUUGCGGUUAAAAAGCUCGUAGUUGGAUCUCAGUUCCAGACGGGCGGUCCGCCUAACGGUGGUUACUGCCUGGCCUGAACAGCCAGCCGGUUUCCCUAGAUGAUCUUCACCGGUUGUCUUGGGUGACCGGCACGUUUACUUUGAAAAAAUUAGAGUGCUCAAAGCAGGCGUGUAGCCUGAAUAAUGGUGCAUGGAAUAAUGGAAUAGGACUUCGUUUCUAUUUUGUUGGUUUUCGGAACACGAGGUAAUGAUUAAGAGGGACAGACGGGGGCAUUCGUAUUGCGACGCUAGAGGUGAAAUUCUUGGACCGUCGCA